UCAGAGAGAGAGUAGAAUGCCCGUUCUACUCUUGCGGCAAUAGAGAACAAAACGUAGCGUAAUCUUCUGCUUCAACUGUAGGUGGCUGGCCCCGAACAUGGCAAUGUUUCAUUCAUGCACGCUGAGCAAAGAACACAUCGUUUUGCUUCUAAGAGAACAGGCCGCCGCAGUUCAAAGGAACGCGUAGCGAGCGCUCUACUUUUUCACUCGGAGUUGCUCCACCGCGCGCGCGCGCGCUCAAGAUCGCGGAACAACACAGCACCGGAGAAAGGUGAUCCGUCCGCCGAGCAGCGCAGCAGGAACAAAGGCCAGCCAAGGGAGAUCGUAUGUCAGCCAUCUCGCGUCGCCACGAAAACACGACAGUCGUUCGUCAUGCCCUGGAUAUAACAACAAAUCCUCCACGGUAAGUGAAUUCCAACUUAGGUGCACAUUGUCCGUAUAUGUCAUGCUAUCGCCAGGAAGUCGUCGCUGCGCUUAGCCGACGCGAUUGACAAAGGACUAGGCAUACGCGCUGUGUCUCUCGAUGUCAAUCGAAAAAGCCAGUCGUCGCGAUAACUGCAUGUGAUUUUAUCACUUUGCCGUUGUCCGUAAGAGCUUUAGAGAUCGCAAACGCUGCCAGAACUAUGGUAUGUUCAAUAAUACGCCAGGCGAGAGGACGCUUAAAAUGGUUCGCUCAUCAGCCCGUGAUUCCGAGCCUAUGCGGAGCGUGAUUAGCGUGCGUUUUGUGUGUUUGAAUUUAUUCAGUUUGGCAGUAUACUGUGUACGGAACGCUGUUGAACUAAGGAAUCACAUAACAGAAGGCGUCAUUUUGCUGGCAGCAUGCUUUUUUUAUAAAUAAACCGCGCGCUUGACGGUGUCUCGCGCAGAGGGAGUCUGCGACCACUUAAGCUACGUGCAGCACCAGUGCUAGUUAGAAACUGCCGCAGGCAUUCAGCUGCAUGCUGCAAGAGGUCAGUUGGGCGCGUUAUCUUGAACUUACUGAAAACGCAUGAGGAAUCCAUGUUUUAUGCUGAAAAAUGUAUAAACACCAUAUAAGCGAUCUUGCGCGCGGCAGCUACAAGCGACGCGAUGGAGAUGGCUGUCGCAUUCGCUCGUCGCCUACAAGUCGUACUCCGUGCAAGUGACGAUAUUGAGCGACGCCUCCCCGGUGUUGCCGGCAUGAGGGCUGCAAUCACGCGUGACGCGUGCUUUAGUAAUUUACGUUGAUGUAUUUUACUAUAAAAAGUAGCAUAAAAUAUUUCCGGAGGUCUUGCCGUAGGUUCUUAUCCUUGCACGUAUAAAAAUCGAAUCAUUUGCUCGUUCCGCGCGACAAUCGGUAGUAUUUGAGCGAUGUACAUCCAGUUCCGGCUUCCCGCUAUUGGCUAGUCGCUCAUAGCACUUUCGGGCGACGAGCGACGAUUUCUAGAUUUCCAGAACCGAGCCAUGUGUUCAAGCGACGGCCCGUUUUGUCGCUCGAAGCCGUCGCUCGUCGCCGUCGCGCACUAAAUCACUCUCACAGUGUUUAUCCCUAAGACUGAACUGUUUUUGCUCAUGUAUUGAAAUGGUGUGAUUAUAGGUAGGUCUGGUUUUGUCUCCAGUUGCGGUUUUCGUGCACGGUGCGAAACUGAAAGGAUGCUUAUGUCUACGAACUCGGUUAGUUGUCGAGCAGCUAGUUAUGCAUCGGCAUCGAAUAUAACGGCUGCUGUGUGGAAUUACAAUUGCAAGGGCGCUCUGCGUACGCUUAUUGUUUUGGACAUGCCUUUGCAUUUGCUAAUAUGAGUUGGCGUGUCAGAGUUAUGUCAUAUGAAUAGCUAAAUCAGGCUUCCUCUGGGGGUUACAAGCGUAAUGUGUGCAUUUUGCUAUUGCAUGGCAGAUCAAAAUGUGUUUAUCGCUUGAAUAUUUUUAGUAGAGAAAUAAAAUAUCAAAAUAAAAUGUUGCUUUAAUUCCGUGUUACCAGUCUGUCGUACACAGAACAAUAGGUUGGUGUAAUAAAUUAAUAACUGCGGUUUAACUGCUACUUUUACAUGCCUUCAAGAAUCUAAAAUGCUAGAUUUCAAACUGCAGCAGUAAGUCGGGUCUGUAAAAAAUGAACUCCAUUGCGCACCUCAUACAUGAAAAUAAGUUCCUUUUAGUAAGCUUAGAUGCAGGUCGCAGUGAACUUUCUUGUUAGUAUUGAAAUGUGGGUAAGCUUGCCAUAACAAGCCUUGUUGCCCUUUUUUAUAGGCACAUCCAUAUAUCCAAUGAACUGAAGCACAAUAUUUUCAUCCCUACUGAGCAUCAUGUUUGCAGCUAUAAUCCUCAAAUUAUGGCUUCAGCAGUGGCACAACCAGGGAUGGUGCGGGGGGCACACUGGGCACGUGCUUAGGAUGUGUCACAAGUGGUGUUUGCGAUACACCAGACUCAUGAAGACCUAUGAUGUCUGAAAAUGACCAAUAUUCUAUUCAUUAGCAGGAGUAUUCGAACAUUCGUGCCGAACGAGGAUGAACUGUCCGUUAUUUCUUUUUUGUGUAAAUCUAAAAUUGAAGUUAAUUUAGCAGUUGACUGUUGCAGUCAUUUGGAUGUUUUGCAUGCAUUUCACUAAGAAGACUAAGAGCUAAGACUUUCUUUUAUUGCCAUGGCCUUGACUGUCUUGAUGUUGUUUUGCACCAUGCCCUUGUAUUGACUUUUGCAUACGAUAUUUUUCAGGCACCUGCUUUAUAUAACGCAAGAAGGCAGCUGCAAGGACACGAGGAUGUGAAUGAGCCAGUGCAGCGCGACUUCACGUAGUGCAGAGGAGCCAAUGUCAAAAAAUCAAAAUACAUUGGCAUGCAAUUUGGACAAGAAAACUAGUAUAUGGGUAUAUUGGGUGUACCAUUUGACCAAAUGUAAACAAAAUCAAGAUACAGUAUGUUACACCAAGAUGAAAAUUCUCACGUGCUCCAGGCAGUCAUCUUAACAUGGUAUAUUUAUGUAAUGUCUCCGAUUGGAAAGUCAAAUCAAGUAUGCUCUCUGGAGACAAACACAUAGCAGCAAGUGUCAUUGAAAAGUUAGAAAUGUGUUUUAAGAAAGCUGAUUAGUUCUGAGAAGUGACUGCUUUUUGUCUUGCCUCUCAACAGAUACAUCCAUGUGAUAAAAAAUAGUGGUACAAUGAAAUUGCAUAUUUGCUUAGUGACAUGAUACAUACUUGCAAUGAGCACGGUGCCUUUGUUUACUAUAAAUAGCAACAGCCCAUGCUUGGUUAGGUUAGGCCCCCUACAACAUGCAGGCAUGGGUGAUCGGCGCUUUUUUUUUAUUUCUGUGUCGUGAGGUUUAUUGACGUGCGUAUAGGUGCAAUGGCACGCAGUAUGGCUAGUACAAAAAGGGGGGGGGGGGGGGGCAGAUAUAUGUAGCUCACUGUACACGACACAGGGCAAAGGAAAUCCGUGUUCAGCAACUAUGUUAAAUGCCAUGUAUGUAAAUUUUACAACGCUACUCAUUCGAAGUACGCACAGGUGCAUAUUGAAGAAAAGUUUUCCAGGGUACAUAAUUUAGUGCGUAAUUUACACUAAUUUUGCUCUAACCACAAGACAUAAUAAAUUGAAUAUACUGCACGGAAAAACCUAGAGCGAAUUAAAUUGUGUGUCAGCUUCGUGUGUAUAAAUAUAGUCUUUCCUAUGCAUUAGGUUUUUCGCGUAAUGCAUUACUAGUUGACAGCCUAUCUUAUCAUGUGUACUCUGUUUACAUUACAGUUGUUUAUUAGUUUACUCAUUUGUUUUGCAACUUAUGAAAUGCCGGUGUAUAUAUAUUUUCAACAUUUGACAUAACCCUGUAUGUUUUGUAGGGACAACCCAGGACGUGCAUUUCUCAGCACCCAGUCAACUGCCAGAAGCGACUCGAACACAGGCCACCAGUGGCACUCGGCUGUACCACUGCAGUGCUGCAGAAAUUGCCAGCACCAGCGGCUUUGCAACAGCUGUUUCACAGCAUGUCGGAGACAAUGCCUACGAAAUUAUCGGCCGUGAUGACGAGAGCCCUCAAGAAGCAAACGACAUCUCUGUUGCAGAAGUGAGCCCGAUACCACCUGAAGUUACCAUGACAGGUGGCACGGCAGCAAUAGAUACAGAGACGGCCAUGUCUACUGCAGCUGCAACAGUGUACGAGGCAAGCAGCAGUGUGUCAGCAUCAGCAGCAGUGUCAGAAGGAACCGCACCAGGCCUGGUAGAGCAACAUGUGUGCUAUCACUGUGACUUUUUUUGUAGUGCAUACAACUCAUUUGCUCAACAUACAAAAGCUUUUCACCACGACUGUGAGCCAGUGUUCUUGUGCAGCAAGUGCAAGACUAAGUUAAGUGUUAUAACACAGUACAAGCAUCACUUUAAGAUAUGAAAACAUAUUACAGUUGUUGCCUCCCCAGCCAGCCCACAUAGCGACAACAAUGUGGAACACAUGGUGGGACACACAUCUUCUCCAUUAGAAGAUAGUAGAGACUGUCAGUGUUGUUGUUAGAUUAACUGGUCUUUGUAGGCAACUAGAAGGACAACACAGGUGUCAUAAGAUUGUUGUUUAUGUUGUUGUUGAAGAGGUAAAAAAGAAGUUUGAUGCAGCUGAAGUGCCAACUGAUAUUGAGCAAAUCAAAAACAACCACCUGAGAAAGCAACACUAUCGAAAUUUGGGUAUCUAUGUGCCGCCAACUCUGGUAAGGAUGGCAUAGGACAGAAGUGUGUUGAAAAUCACACAGACACUGCUGUUCCAUCACUGGUCACAGUGAGCAGUGACUUGUAGGGCAAGAGAGUCAACUGAAACGAACAUUAUGGCAUAGUGUCAUGCUCCCAUGUGACCACUUUCCAUGUUAUUUUGCAUGAUACAGCUCAACCUCCAGAAACGAGACUGCAACUUGUCUGUAGAAAGCUUUCACAAAAAAUUAUGCAUAACACUAUUAACACAGCAGUAUCUUCUUUUUUUGUGGGUUCGAGGUUCCCGGGUGUCCAUUAAUGCAAAAAUUGCGGAAAAAAAGAACAUGAGCCGCACUUGCACCUUUUUAACACGUACGAGGGGGACCGAACUUUUCUAGUCAUGUAUCUUCAUCAUACUAUCAAGUUUUUAAAUGCCUUUUAUAAUUAUUAUUAACAGUUAUAUCUGAGUGCAUUGUAUGCAUUUAGCAGGUGUAAAAUCAGGUCAGUUGGAUCAGAUGCCUUAUCUGCAAGAGAGCGCUAUAUUCAAGAAAUUUGAAUUAAAAUAGGUACAUUAGAGACGCAGUCUUUCUGCACUUUAUUGCGUGUGGUUUAAGCAUUGCUCAAUACUUUUGUGGAUGACAGUUUCAACCGGCACAGCACUGCGCUUUGUCACGGUCAAGUGUCUUCAAAGCGGUGUUUACCAUUUGUGUUGAUCUGUUUGUGUAUUCAUAGAGCAAGUUCUUAUUUAUUUUUUUCCGCAUUCUUGUGCUUGCACUAAGCUUGUAUAAGGCAGUUACAAAAUGGGCGUCACUAUAACAAACUGUUCUGUUGAGCUUACACUUGCAAAUAAUAGUGUUCAGAUGGCCGCACUUCUAUGUAGGUGCACCGAUAGCUUUGUGUAUGUUCUCAUGUUUGUAUAAAGCUUAUAUAAGCUAGUUACAAAAUGUAUGUCACUAAGCAUUGUGAUGUUCUUUAAAGAACUGCUUGGUUGGUUUUACACUUGUGAAUUAGUAUUGAGGCGGUGGUAUUUCCAUGUAGGCCCAGUGCCAGCUUUCUGUGUGCUCACGUGUUUGUAUUAAAAUUUUACAAGGGAGUUACAGCAUGUACGUCACUAAGCGCUGUGAUAUUUUUAAGGAACUGCUUUGUUGGUUUUACACCUGUGAGUAAUAGUACUCGGGUGGAACUAGUCAUGUGUAGGUACACAGGGACCAUUUGUAUAGAUUAUGCUCCUGUAAAGCAGUUACAAAGUGUAUGUCACUAAUCACUGUGAUAUUUGUUGAAGAAUUGCUGUGAUGGUUUUACACAUGUGAGUAAUAGCGGUCAGGACACAGUACUUGCGCUGUAUAGUUGAACUUAUACAGUGUCAAGACAUGGGCUGUAUACGUACCAAAAGAAAUGUAUGUCAUUAUAUUGUUGUGAUUAUUACUGUUUGGAUUUUAUUAAACUCUAAUAACAUUUUUUCUUGUAUCUAUUGAGGUAUGGCAAUUUGUCAUGCAACCAAACUGAGAACCUGAACUUGUGCAUACAAAUAAACAGCUAAUUUAAGAGUA